AACGCUGGCGGCGUGCUUACACCUGCAAGUCGAACGAUGAAAGCUGGAGCUUGCUCUAGCUGGAUUAGUGGCGAACGGGUGAGUAACACGUGAGCAAUCUGCCCUGGACUCUGGGAUAACCCCGAGAAAUCGGAGCUAAUACCGGAUACGACACCUCCCGGCAUCGGGUGGGUGUGGAAAGAAUUUCGGUCCAGGAUGAGCUCGCGGCCUAUCAGCUUGUUGGUGAGGUAACGGCUCACCAAGGCGACGACGGGUAGCCGGCCUGAGAGGGUGACCGGCCACACUGGGACUGAGACACGGCCCAGACUCCUACGGGAGGCAGCAGUGGGGAAUAUUGCACAAUGGGCGCAAGCCUGAUGCAGCAACGCCGCGUGGGGGACGACGGCCUUCGGGUUGUAAACCUCUUUUAGUAGGGAAGAAGCGCAAGUGACGGUACCUACAGAAAAAGCACCGGCUAACUACGUGCCAAGCAGCCGCGGUAAUACGUAGGUGCAAGCGUUGUCCG
rnacentral:rRNA from 1 species